AUCCUUUUGUAGUUCAUAUAAGAAUGAUGAUUGGGUGCUCACACCAUUGUGUGACAUGUACCUCUCCCUCAAACCUUGUUAUGAUCUUGGCACAUUACCCAUCUGAUG
rfam:Canis lupus familiaris chromosome 34, whole genome shotgun sequence.